GAUGAACGCUGGCGGCGUGCCUAACACAUGCAAGUCGAGCGAAGCACUUACUUUAGAUUUCUUCGGAAUGACGAAGUUUGUGACUGAGCGGCGGACGGGUGAGUAACGCGUGGGCAACCUGCCCUGUACAGGGGGAUAACAGUUAGAAAUGACUGCUAAUACCGCAUAAGCCCACAGCUUCGCAUGAAGCAGUGGGAAAAACUCCGGUGGUACAGGAUGGGCCCGCGUCUGAUUAGCUAGUUGGUAAGGUAACGGCUUACCAAGGCGACGAUCAGUAGCCGACCUGAGAGGGUGACCGGCCACAUUGGGACUGAGACACGGCCCAAACUCCUACGGGAGGCAGCAGUGGGGAAUAUUGCACAAUGGGGGAAACCCUGAUGCAGCGACGCCGCGUGAGCGAUGAAGUAUUUCGGUAUGUAAAGCUCUAUCAGCAGGGAAGAAAGUGACGGUACCUGACUAAGAAGCCCCGGCUAACUACG
rnacentral:rRNA from 1 species